GCAGUACGCCUGGGAGUCCUGAGCUGGGGGAUCCUUCACUGUGAGGACUGACACAGGUGAACCAAUGGGUCAUGGAACAAAGGUUAUCUUGCAUCUGAAAGAAGACCAAACUGAGUAUUUGGAGGAAAGGAGAAUAAAAGAAAUUGUGAAGAAACAUUCUCAGUUUAUUGGCUAUCCCAUUACUCUCUUUGUGGAGAAGGAACGUGACAAGGAAGUCAGUGAUGAUGAGGCUGAAGAAAAGGAAGAGAAAGAGGAAGAGAAAGAAAAAGAAGAAAAGGAGUCUGAUGACAAGCCUGAAAUAGAAGAUGUUGGUUCUGAUGAAGAAGAAGAAGAGAAGAAGUAUGGUGACAAGAAGAAAAAGAAGAUAAAGGAAAAGUACAUUGAUCAAGAAGAACUCAACAAAACAAAGCCGAUUUGGACCAGAUAUACUGAUGCCAUUACGAAUGAAGAAUACGGAGAGUUCUACAAGAGCUUAACCAACGAUUGAGAAGAACAUUUGGCAGUAAAGCAUUUUUCUGUUGAAGGACAGUUAGAAUUCCGGGCUCUUCUUUUUGUCCCAAGACGCGCUCCUUUUGAUCUAUUUGAAAACAGAAAGAAAAAGAACAACAUCAAGUUGUAUGUUCACAGAGUUUUUAUCAUGGAUAACUGUGAGGAGUUAAUCACCGAGUAUCUGAAUUUCAUGAGAGGGGUGGUGGAUUCUGAGGAUCUCCCUCUAAAUGUUUCCCAUGAAAUGCUGCAACAAAGCAAAAUUCUGAAAGUUAUCAGGAAGAAUUUGGUCAAGAAAUGCCUAGAACUAUUUACUGAACUUGCUGAAGAUAAAGAGAACUACAAAAAGUUUUAUGAGUAGUUCUCAAAAAAUAUUUUUU
rnacentral:lncRNA from 1 species